GUGCUCACUUCUGCAGCCCACACACUAAAAUUGGAACGAAACAGAGAAGAUGAGCGUGGCCCCUGCACGAGGAUGACAUGCAUAUUUGUGAGGCGGUCCAUAUUUUU